GUUCACUGUAGCUUAACUAUUAAAGCACGGCACUGAAGCUGCCAUGAUGGGACCCACCCCCAGAAACA
rnacentral:tRNA from 1 species